rnacentral:rRNA from 1 species
UGAGGAACAUGACCUUCGGCGGGGGAUCGCCGGCCCAACGGCCGGGUAAUACCGCGUACGACCACUCGGGGACAUCCCCAGGUGGUGAAAGCAGCAAUGCGCCGAUGGAGUGCCUCGCGGCCUAUCAGCUAGUUGGUGAGGUCAUGGCUCACCAAGGCGACGACGGGUAGCUGGCCUGAGAGGGCGACCGGCCACACUGGGACUGAGAUACGGCCCAGACUCCGUACGGGAGCAG